rnacentral:rRNA from 1 species
UACGUAGGGUGCAAGCGUUAAUCGGAAUUACUGGGCGUAAAGCGUGCGCAGGCGGUUAUGUAAGACAGAUGUGAAAUGCCCGGGCUUAACCUGGGAACUGCAUUUGUGACUGCAUGGCUAGAGUUUGGCAGAGGGGGGUAGAAUUCCACGUGUAGCAGUGAAAUGCGUAGAGAUGUGGAGGAACACCGAUGGCGGAGGCAGCCCCCUGGGCUAACACUGACGCUCAGGCACGAAAGCGUGGGGAGCAAACAGG